UACGGGGGGGGCAAGCGUUGUUCGGAAUUACUGGGCGUAAAGGGUUUGUAGGUGGCUUGCUAAGUCAGACGCGAAAUCCCUCAGCUUAACUGGGGAACUGCGUCUGAUACUGGCGAGCUUGAGUGCAGGAGAGGAACGCGGAAUUCCAGGUGUAGCGGUGAAAUGCGUAGAUAUCUGGAGGAACACCGGUGGCGAAGGCGGCGUUCUGGACUGUAACUGACACUGAGAAACGAAAGCCAGGGUAGCAAACGGG
rnacentral:rRNA from 1 species